rnacentral:rRNA from 1 species
AUUGAACGCUGGCGGCAGGCUUAACACAUGCAAGUCGAACGAGUGGCGGACGGGUGAGUAAUGCUUGGGAAUCUAGCUUAUGGAGGGGGAUAACUACGGGAAACUGUAGCUAAUACCGCGUACCAUAGGAUGAGCCCAAGUGGGAUUAGGUAGUUGGUGGGGUAAAGGCUCACCAAGCCGACGAUCCCUAGCUGGUCUGAGAGGAUGACCAGCCAACCCUGGACUGGGGCACCGCCCAGACUCCUACCGGGGGCAGCAAUGGGGAAUCUUCCGCCAUGGAGGAAAGUUGAAUGCGCAACGCCGCGUGGGUUAUGACGGCCUUCGGGUUGUAAAGCUCUGUUAAUCGGGGCGCGGUACCGGCAUAGAAAGCCACGGCUAACUACGUGCCAGCAGCCGCGGUAAUUC